rnacentral:rRNA from 1 species
GAUGAACGCUGGCGGCGUGCCUAAUACAUGCAAGUCGAGCGAACAGACGAGGAGCUUGCUCCUCUGACGUUAGCGGCGGACGGGUGAGUAACACGUGGAUAACCUACCUAUAAGACUGGGAUCACUUCGGGAAACCGGAGCUAAUACCGGAUAAUAUAUUGAACCGCAUGGUUCAAUAGUGAAAGACGGUUUUGCUGUCACUUAUAGAUGGAUCCGCGCCGCAUUAGCUAGUUGGUAAGGUAACGGCUUACCAAGGCGACGAUGCGUAGCCGACCUGAGAGGGUGAUCGGCCACACUGGAACUGAGACACGGUCCAGACUCCUACGGGAGGCAGCAGUAGGGAAUCUUCCGCAAUGGGCGAAAGCCUGACGGAGCAACGCCGCGUGAGUGAUGAAGGUCUUCGGAUCGUAAAACCCUGUUAUUAGGGAAGAACAAAUGUGUAAGUAACUAUGCACGUCUUGACGGUACCUAAUCAGAAAGCCACGGCUAACUACGUG